UGUAUUGUCAGAUUAACUAUUCAAUCCAUUUAAAUCCCGGAGGUCCUGUUUUGACAUAUGUGUAUUAGUUCGAGAUAAAAAAUGAAUUUUGAAUGCUUUUGUUAACCUUGGGACCGUAAAUUUAGUUCGACUCAACCGAAAUUUCGACUCAUCCAAUUUCGACUCAUCAGGAGUCGAAUUACAUACUUUUGUAUGGAAUAAAGUUCGAGACCACGUGAAAACUUCGACUCAUCCGAAAUUUCGAGUCAACCGAGUUCGAGACAACGAGAGUUAACUGUAUUUCAAAAUAUUCCAAAAUUUUGUAAACAGUAAAUUUAUAAAUAUAACCAUAUCAAUGACAAUUCAUGUCAGCACAAAAAGUGCUAACUACUGGGCU
rnacentral:lncRNA from 1 species